GACAGAGGCCCCGAGCGUUAGGCGGAAUCACUGGGCUUAAAGCGUGUGUAGGCGGAUUGUUAAGUGUCUUGUGAAAUCCCACGGCUCACCCGUGGAACUGCUGGGCAUACUGGCGAUCUUGGGCCAUUCAGGGGCGACUGGAACAAGCGGUGGAGCGGUGAAAUGCGUAGAUAUCGCUUGGAACGCCGAAGGUGAAAACAGGUCGCUGGGGAUGUGCCGACGCUGAGACACGAAAGCCAGGGGAGCAAACGGG
rnacentral:rRNA from 1 species